GACGAAGGGGGCUAGCGUUGUUCGGAAUUACUGGGCGUAAAGCGCGUGUAGGCGGUUGUCCAAGUUGGAUGUGAAAGCCUUGAGCUUAACUCAAGAAAUGCAUUCAGGACUGGAUGGCUAGAGGACCGGAGAGGAUAGUGGAAUUCCCAGUGUAGUGGUGAAAUACGUAGAGAUUGGGAAGAACACCAGUGGCGAAGGCGGCUAUCUGGACGGUUUCUGACGCUAAGACGCGAAAGCGUGGGGGGCAAACAGG
rnacentral:rRNA from 1 species